rnacentral:rRNA from 1 species
GGCGAACGGGUGAGUAACACGUUGGUGACCUGCCCCGAGGUGGGGGACAACUGUGGGAAACCACAGCUAAUACCCCGGAUGUUGAGGAGUCUAGACGUCCUUAACUAAAGUUCCGGCGCCUCGGGAGGGGCCUGCGGGCUAUCAGCUUGUUGGUAAGGUAAUGGCUUACCAAGGCUAAGACGGCUAGGGGGCGUGAGAGCGCGAUCCCCCACAAUGGGACUGAGACACGGCCCAUACUCCUACGGGAGGCAGCAGUGAGGAAUAUUGCACAAUGGGGGCAACCCUGAUGCAGCAACGCCGCGUGAACGAUGAAGGCCUUCGGGUCGUAAAGUUCUUUUCUGUGGGACGAUAAUGACGGUACCACAGGAAUAAGUCCCGGCUAACUACGUGCCAGCAGCCGCGGUAAAACGUAGGGGGCGAGCGUUAUCCGGAUUUAUUGGGCGUAAAGCGCACGUAGGCGGCGCGGUAAGUUGGACGUGAAAGCUCCCGGCUCA